UGCAGAGUCCGUCCACACCUCGCUCCGGCCAUACAGCUGCCAAACUCUAAAUGCUCUAAUUCGAGAGCUCCAGUUAGCCGCCUCGUAAAUUACUGAAGUGUCGUAUCAAUGCUUUGACUUUCCGCUAUGUAAUUAGUGCGUUGGCUGUAGUUCCCUACGGUGUUUGGUGCUAGCUACGGUUCUAUUCAUAUAAAGAACCCAGAUUUUGUUUUAUUGUCCUGCAUUCAACCAAUAGUGAUGCUGAUGUCCACAACAGUCAAAUUGGAAGCGAAUUUCCCUUUUGCUAUAACAAUGCUCAUUUGGAAAAUUUCAGCGUGUGUAGUAUUACAAAAGGUAUUACGCCGUUAAGAGUCUGGCGGUAGUUACUAAGUGGCAGCUUAAUGGAGACCGUGUACCCUGCGUCUGCGUCGGCGCUGGCGCGCGGGCGUCGUCUGCGGCGCGCCGACCCGCGCUCGCGGCACCGCACUACGCCCGUCACUUUCGCAGAGAUCAAGGAAGUAGACGAGGAGAACGAGGACGCAUUAGCGUCGGCAGCGGCGAGCGAGGAGCGGCGUCGGCGGCCAGACUUGCUUGACGAGCCGCUCGGCCGGCAGUUCGCAGAGUUCCGCGCGCGGCGAGCGCGGCGGGCGCGCCGGGAGCGGGACGAACUGCGCGAGCGCGACGCGGAGGAGGCGCCGGCCCCAGCGCCGCUCGCCAGCACGGCGCGCGCGGGCAGCGAGCCGGCGGGGCUGCAUCAGUCUCCGCCGCACGACACCUGACUGCCGCCUCCGACUGCUGCAGGUCCCAGGGACCGGACUAGUUUAUUGUCGUUACCGAGCUGAGGGCUCACUGAAAUAAGGGAAUUCGCGAGAGAAACAUCUCGAAAAAUAUUUAUAAUUUACCCUAUUGAGUUGUUAACUAUACCUACUACUAAAAUAGUUAACAAUAAAUUGAAAAUCAUGAAACAGUUAAGUAAAUUUUAAUCGUAGCCGUGACGUGGUUGUGGAAAGAUGGUUCUAUUGGAACACGAUUGAAUCCUUGGUGGUU
rnacentral:lncRNA from 1 species